AUGCAAGCUUGUUCUAUGUUACUAGGAAGGCCAUGGCAAUAUGAUAAACAAUGUUUACAUGAUGGUAGAACUAAUCAGUACACUCUCACACAUAAAGGAAAGAAAAUCAUUGUACACCCUAUGUCUCCUGAGCAAAUUUUAAAAGAUGAUCUUGCUAGGGCUAGUAGAAACACAAAUAUUGAGUGUACUAAAUCUGAAAAUCAGAAAGUUGUUGAUGAGUUAGAACAAUUUAAUAAGAUGCACAAAUUUGAUCGUAGCACAUCUAAAGAAAUUAAAUUGAAAGGUGCUUCUUUCUUAGCUACACGUGCUAAAAAAUUUGAGUUAGAUGCUCAUACUGAUGAAUGUUAUGCUCUUAUUUGCAAAGAAGUUUUGUUUUCAUUUGAGGAUAUGCCUUCUUCUUUGCCUCCUGUUGUCGCUAACCUUUUGCAGGAGUAUCAUGAUGUUUUCCCAAAGGAAGUACCACCAGGGCUGCCACCUAUGAGAGGAAUUGAACAUCAAAUUAAAUUGAUACCUGGCGCCUCAUUACCCAACCGUGCGCCGUACCAGACUAAUCCAGAAGAGACCAAGGAGAUUCAGCGACAAGUUCAAGAACUACUCGACAAAGGUUACAUUCAUGAAUCCCUUAGUCCAUGUGCUGUACCAAUUUUACUUGUUCCGAAAAACGACGGUACUUCGCGUAUGUGUGUUGAUUGUAGAGCCAUCAAUAAUAUUACAAUUCGAUAUCGUCAUCCUAUUCCUAGAUUAGAUGACAUGCUUGAUGAACUUAGUGCCUCAGUUGUGUUUUCUAAAGUGGACUUGCGUAGUGGAUACCAUCAAAUUCGUAUCAAACUAGGUGAUGAAUGGAAAACUGCUUUCAAAACUAAUUUUGGUUUAUAUGAGUGGUUAGUUAUGCCUUUUGGAUUGACUAAUGCACCUAGUACUUUCAUGAGACUAAUGAAUGAAGUUUUGCGAGCUUUCAUUGGACGAUUUGUGGUAGUAUAUUUCGAUGAUAUUUUGAUUUAUAGCAAGUCACUAGAGGAACACUUAGACCAUUUGCGUGCUGUUUUUUCUGCUCUGCGUGAUGCACGUUUAUUUGGUAAUAUUGGAAAGUGCACUUUUUGCACGGAGCGAGUCACUUUUCUUGGCUAUGUUGUCACAUCGCAAGGAAUUGAAGUUGAUAAAGCCAAGGUUGAAGCGAUCCAGAGAUGGCCGACCCCUAACUCGGUCACACAGGUACGAAGUUUUCUCAGACUUGCUGGGUUCUAUCGGUGGUUCAUGAAGGAUUUUAGUACCAUCGCAGCGCCGCUCAACGAGCUCACAAAGAAAAAUGUGCCAUUUGUUUGGAGCGACGCACAAGAGGAAGCCUUCACUAUUCUUAAAGAUAAUCUUACACACGCCCCUUUGCUGCAAUUACCUGAUUUUAAUAAGAUGUUUGAAUUAGAAUGUGAUGCUAGAGGCAUUGGUUCAGGCAGUGUUUUAUUGCAAGAAGGAAAACCAGUAGCAUACUUUAGUGAAAAGCUCAGUGGGCCUAGUCUGAAUUAUUCAACAUAUGAUAAAGAACUUUAUGCACUAGAUCGAACUUUGGAGACAUGGCAACAUUAUUUAUGGCCUAAGGAGUUUGUCAUACAUUCUGAUCAUGAAUCACUCAAGCAUAUUAGAAGUCAAAGUAAACUGAACCGUAGACAUGCAAAAUGGGUUGAAUUUAUUGAAUCUUUUCCUUAUGUUAUUAAGCACAAGAAAGGGAAGGAGAAUGUUAUUGCCGAUGCAUUGUCUAGACGCUAUACCAUGUUAUCACAACUUGACUUCAAAAAUUUUGGACUUGAAACUAUAAAAGAGCAAUAUGCUAAUGAUGUCGAUUUUAAAGAUAUAUUGCUCAAUUGCAGAGAGGGUAGAACCUGGAACAAGUUCGUCGCUAAUGACGGAUUUGUUUUUCGUGCUAAUAAGCUAUGCAUCCCAGAUAGCUCUGUUCGUCUUUUGUUGUUAAAGGAGGCACAUGGCGAAGGACUUAUGGGACAUUUCGGCAUCAAGAAGACAGAAGACAUCCUUGCUUGUCAUUUUUUCUGGCCAAAAAUGAGAAGGGAUGUGGAGAGAUAUGUUGCACGCUGCACUACAUGCCAAAAAGCUAAGUCAUGA
rnacentral:rRNA from 1 species